rnacentral:rRNA from 1 species
GAUGAACGCUGGCGGCGUGCUUAACACAUGCAAGUCGAACGAGAAAUGGAGACGGAACCCUUCGGGCGGAAGGCUUCAUUUCGAGUGGCGGACGGGUGAGUAACGCGUGGGUAACCUGCCUCAUACAGGGGGAUAACAGUUGGAAACGCCUGUUAAUACCGCAUAAGACCACAGCACCGCACGGCGCGGGGGUAAAAACUCCGGUGGUAUGAGAUGGACCCGCGUUCGAUUAGCCAGUUGGCGGGGUAACGGCCCACCAAAGCGACGAUCGAUAGCCGGUCUGAGAGGAUGACCGGCCACAUUGGGACUGAGACACGGCCCAGACUCCUACGGGAGGCAGCAGUGGGGAAUAUUGCACAAUGGGGGAAACCCUGAUGCAGCGACGCCGCGUGAGUGAAGAAGUACUUCGGGAUGUAAAGCUCUAUCAGCAGGGAAGAAAAUGACGGUACCUGAGGAAGAAGCCCCGGCUAACUACGUG